rnacentral:rRNA from 1 species
GUUAGUAACACGUGGAUAACCUACCUAUAAGACUGGGAUAACUUCGGGAAACCGGAGCUAAUACCGGAUAAUAUAUUGAACCGCAUGGUUCAAUAGUGAAAGACGGUUUUGCUGUCACUUAUAGAUGGAUCCGCGCCGCAUUAGCUAGUUGGUAAGGUAACGGCUUACCAAGGCAACGAUGCGUAGCCGACCUGAGAGGGUGAUCGGCCACACUGGAACUGAGACACGGUCCAG